rnacentral:sRNA from 1 species
AUUCAUUGAUUUCAUGAAAACACACACAUACAUCGACACAUAGCUCGGGGUGCCGGGGCAAUAAAGCCGCUGGUCGAACUAUGGGAUGUAUGGAGGCAUAACC